CCUAUCAGAGGGGGAUAACCCGGCGAAAGUCGGACUAAUACCGCAUGAAGCAGGGGCCCCGCAUGGGGAUAUUUGCUAAAGAUUCAUCGCUGAUAGAUAGGCAUGCGUUCCAUUAGGCAGUUGGCGGGGUAACGGCCCACCAAACCGACGAUGGAUAGGGGUUCUGAGAGGAAGGUCCCCCACAUUGGUACUGAGACACGGACCAAACUCCUACGGGAGGCAGCAGUGAGGAAUAUUGGUCAAUGGCCGAGAGGCUGAACCAGCCAAGUCGCGUGAGGGAUGAAGGUUCUAUGGAUCGUAAACCUCUUUUAUAAGGGAAUAAAGUGCGGGACGUGUCCCGUUUUGUAUGUACCUUAUGAAUAAGGAUCGGCUAACUCCGUGCCAGCAGCCGCGGUAAUACGGAGGAUCCGAGCGUUAUCCGGAUUUAUUGGGUUUAAAGGGUGCGUAGGCGGCCUUUUAAGUCAGCGGUGAAAGUCUGUGGCUCAACCAUAGAAUUGCCGUUGAAACUGGGGGGCUUGAGUAUGUUUGAGGCAGGCGGAAUGCGUGGUGUAGCGGUGAAAUGCAUAGAUAUCACGCAGAACCCCGAUUGCGAAGGCAGCCUGCCAAGCCAUUACUGACGCUGAUGCACGAAAGCGUGGGGAUCAAACAGGAUUAGAUACCCUGGUAGUCCACGCAGUAAACGAUGAUCACUAGCUGUUUGCGAUACACUGUAAGCGGCACAGCGAAAGCGUUAAGUGAUCCACCUGGGGAGUACGCCGGCAACGGUGAAACUCAAAGGAAUUGACGGGGGCCCGCACAAGCGGAGGAACAUGUGGUUUAAUUCGAUGAUACGCGAGGAACCUUACCCGGGUUUGAACGCAUUCGGACCGAGGUGGAAACACCUUUUCUAGCAAUAGCCGUUUGCGAGGUGCUGCAUGGUUGUCGUCAGCUCGUGCCGUGAGGUGUCGGCUUAAGUGCCAUAACGAGCGCAACCCUUGCCACUAGUUACUAACAGGUAAAGCUGAGGACUCUGGUGGGACUGCCAGCGUAAGCUGCGAGGAAGGCGGGGAUGACGUCAAAUCAGCACGGCCCUUACAUCCGGGGCGACACACGUGUUACAAUGGCGUGGACAAAGGGAAGCCACCUGGCGACAGGGAGCGAAUCCCCAAACCACGUCUCAGUUCGGAUCGGAGUCUGCAACCCGACUCCGUGAAGCUGGAUUCGCUAGUAAUCGCGCAUCAGCCAUGGCGCGGUGAAUACGUUCCCGGGCCUUGUACACACCGCCCGUCAAGCCAUGGGAGCCGGGGGUACCUGAAGUCCGUAACCGCGAGGAUCGGCCUAGGGUAAAACUGGUGACUGGGGCUAAGUCGUAACAAGGUAGCCGUACCGGAAGGUGCGGCUGGAACACCUCCUUUCU
rnacentral:rRNA from 1 species